CUAUGAAUAUUCUUACUGUUCUUAUUUUGUAAUAAUCAGGACAGGCUAAACAUGCUAUAAUAAGACCAUGCAUUUGUCUGUAGACCUAGUUUUUUACUGACUUAGGACUGGUCUUAGAAAUGCUGGUGAUGAAU
ensembl:snoRNA SNORA72 Small nucleolar RNA SNORA72